GUGAUGGAUCACCCGGGCGGCGGCAUUUAAAUUCCGAGCGCUCCUCCAUCAAGGUGACGCGCAGCCCCACCGACGACACCCCUCCCUCCCUCCUUCCCUCCCUCCUUCCCUCGCCCAUCCCCAGCCAAUGCCUUGGGGUGGCUGGAGAGCCCCGCCAGGCAGGCAGUGUGCGCCCAGGCGCUCAGCCUGAAAGACCAGCGCCGCAGAAGGAGGCAAGAAAGGAUGGACGGAAGAAGAGCCCAGCCUGGCAGGGUUGUUUUGUUGGGAUCUUUGAACCCCUGGGAAAUCUACCAAAAGAAAGCCUUUGCUGGUACUCAAGGACUGUUUCUUCAAGGCGAUUGUUUGGGAAAGGAACAGCUAAACGCUUUCAAUAACAGCAAAGUAGCCCCUGUUUCCUCUUGGACCGUGGUAUAUUCUGCCUCUAAUGAUAUAUUAGACAAACUGUACAAAAAUUAAAUUAUAUAUAUUUAAUAGAAAAUUAAAUAUAGAAAUGUCUUAAUGUGCUUCCAACUUUUUGAUUCUAAUGUGUUAGAUAAAUUAAAUGGGAAUAUAUAUAUGUUCGGAAGCAUUUUAA